rnacentral:lncRNA from 1 species
AAACACUCUUCUCGGACUCUUACACUUCCUUUUAAAGGUUGAGUAGCGUACCUUUCUUCUCCUCACCAUUAAAAAUUUCCUGGUUUCUCCACCUUCUCUCUUCCGCGAAAGCCUCUGAAAUCAGAAUUUUCUUCUUCCUCAUUGUUUUGCUUAUUGAUUUGUUUGGUUAUUUUUCUGAUUCCUUUUACAUUUCAAUCUGCUGGGCAUUGACCAUCUCCGUUUCCUUUUUCUUUUUCCAAAUGGGACUGCCUUUCUGUAUCAAUCCCAUUUCUUGAAAUCACAUUUUCAAGACUUGUUUUUUGUAUUGUUCAGAAAGAUUGCAAAGGGUACUAUAUACUCCUUGAUGUUACUAAUGUUGCCGACCGGUUGCUGAAGCCAUGGCAGAUCACUUGUUCAAUGCAGCAAAUAUCUGCAUCUUCAGGCUUGUUCCAAUGUUGAAAUAAGUUGGUUGGUUGUCUUUGUGGCUUAUUGGAUCCCUUUGCUUCACUUGUCCAUGUUUGUUUGUUUGGUUGUUUAGUAUUCAAUGCAACUAAUACCUGCUUCUUCAGGUCUGUUUAAAUUUUUAUGUCAAUUCGUUGUUUUUAUGGCUACUUUAAUCAUCUUUAGUUCACAUGGCUACUUUAAUCAUCUUUAGUUCACAUCUUAAUAGUUUCUUUUAAGCGAAAGGGGACUGAUUUAACCCUUGUAUUUUGAAAAAUAGUAUUAUAUCAUGACAUUUAAACCCCUUACUUUUAGAAAAGUAGCCACAUUUAAAUUGACACGGUGGACUGAGUAUUAGCAUACCAGGUUAUAAGUGGAGAAAUUCAAAAAUAGUCAGAUUUACAAGUGGUAAUUGAAAAAUAGCCACAAUUUCAAAAGUAAUCGAAAUUUAGCCAUUUUUCAUGUAAAGAUAAAUUUGAACGAAAAUACUGAUCAAAAUCCGGAAAAUAUUCCAGCAUAAUAUAUUGGAGUUCCAGUAUAUUAUACUGGAGUUCCAAUAUAAUAUACUGGAACUCUAUGUACUGAAAAUUCAGUAUAAUAUACAGGUGCAGCAUAAUAUGCUGGAAGUUCAUACACAGAUGCUCCAAUCUCCAGUAUAUUAUGCUGGAACUUUUCGCGUGUUGGAGUUCCAGCAUAAUAUGCUGGAGGUUCAUACACAGGUGCACCAAUCUCCAGUAUAUUAUGCUGGACCGGUCCGUGUUACAGCAAAAUAAUGACUAUUUUUCAAUGACUUUGCAAAAUGUAGCUAUUUUUAAAUUACGAGUCCAAAAACUGGCUAGACCGUGCUAUUUUUAUGUGAUAAUUAAACCUAUAUCCUAUUAAAUAACCCAUUACCGGAAACCUAUAACCCAUUUGGCCCAUCAACAUCAAAUAAAUAAGAGGCAACCCAAAUAAUUUCCAUUUCAGAACCAAUUCUUUUGGUCCGUUGGAGGCUUCGAAAUUGAACAAAACGGAAAUUGGGUUUGUGACUUCUGUAGUAUAUCUAUGAGUCUAAGGCUUAGAGCUUUGAAGUUUAAGCCACUUGAUCCUUCAUAUUCUCUCUCUCUCUCUCUCUCUCUCUCUCUUCUCUCUCUCUCUCUCUGUGUGUGUUCCUUUGCUUGCAAAUUUAUGUGUUUCUAUUCUUAAUUUUAAAUUUCAACCUCAUAAUUCUUUGCUUUUAAUUGGAACCCUUGAAAUAAUUGUGGAUAUGGGUAUUUCGUAUUAUGCACUUUAAUGCCAGAAAAGGCAGAAAUUUUAUUGCAAGAGCAUUGAGUCGCUUUGCCUGUAUUUUUUAUUUUACUAGGCUCAGUGCAGAAAUUUUUUUCGAACUCUUCACUCUAUUCUCUUUUCUUUUUCUAUAGCAAUUGAAGAGUUUCUUAUUUUUGCUUUUGCUUGAAAAGAGUUUUCUUUUCUAUGAUGUUGUUUUGAAAGAAACUUAAGGUCCUUCCAUGAAGGAAGACAAACAAUUUGGGGGAAAAGAUAAUGGUAUAUCGAUAAACAAUAAAAUAUAUGGCUAAAAAGUAGCCAUAUCAGCAAAAAUAUAAUUUUUUAAGUUUUUUCAUAUGGGCAAAUGUGGCUGCUUUUCUACUGGUAGGGGUUUAAAUUAUGCGUGGCAGGGGACGGUCCGGUCCGGGUUGAAGAAAAAUGUGACCGGCCGAUCACCAAUAUGGGCCGGUACUGGUUUUUCCCAACUUGGUUUACCGGAUUCGGGCCCACCCGGUAUUUUAUUGAACCGGAACGGUUACGAGCCAAAGGGGCCGGGCUGGGUUUUUGAAUUUUUUAUUUUGUAUAACUAUCGUAAUUUAUAUUAAGAUAAAGUAAAAAUAUAAAACAAAAAAUUAAUUUUAUAAAAGGAGUGUUUGAAUAAAGGAUGCAAAGGCUUUAAAAUCCUUAUAUUUGAAUACUUCAUUAAGAAUUUAAGAUAAUAGAAUACAACAAAGAUGGAAAAAAAUUGCACUUAUAAUUUGCAAGUUCUUUUUUUAUUUCAAACUUUCAAAUUAAAGUUUACAUUCAAAGGUUUUGCAUUGCCUUAUUAAGUUCUUCAUAAUCAAUAUGAACUUCUUGGUCAUCUUUUGGAGUGUUAAAUUUAGAUGGGUGACCAUGUGUUAAUAUAUUUCCAAGUUCCCCGUCUUCUGGUUUAUCAAUAUCUUCACGUACCUGAUUUCUUCGUGGCGAUCUAAUCCAAUAUCUGAAACAUACUAAAACUUCCAAAGCAUUACUUCCCAAUGAGUGACGGGCGUCUCCUAGUUGUUGUCUUGCUUGACUAAAUGCACUCUCUGAUGCAACAGUUGAAACUGGCACAUUCAGCAUGUCCCGAGCCAUAGCGGAAAGAACAGGAAAUUGCUUUUCAUUCUCAUGCCACCAUCCCAACGGUGAAAAUUCCUUUGUGCGAGGCUCUGGUUGCUUUUGCAAGUAGAAUUAAAAUUCAUCAAUAUUCCUGCUACUGGUUUGAGUGCAAGGAAAUAUAGACCAAAUAUUAUAACCAUCAAUGAUUUCAUCUUCAUCCAUAGUAGCAGAUGCAGUAGAAGUAGUACAAUGCAUAGGGAGAUUAACAUUGCCUANNNNNNNNNNNNNNNNNNNNNNNNNNNNNNNNNNNNNNNNNNNNNNNNNNNNNNNNNNNNNNNNNNNNNNNNNNNNNNNNNNNNNNNNNNNN